AAAGAGCUCGUAGGUGGUUUGUCGCGUUGUUCGUGAAAUCUCACGGCUUAACUGUGAGCGUGCGGGCGAUACGGGCAGACUUGAGUACUGCAGGGGAGACUGGAAUUCCUGGUGUAGCGGUGGAAUGCGCAGAUAUCAGGAGGAACACCGGUGGCGAAGGCGGGUCUCUGGGCAGUAACUGACGCUGAGGAGCGAAAGCGUGGGGAGCGAACAGGAUUAGAUACCCUGGUAGUCCACGCCGUAAACGGUGGGUACUAGGUGUGGGUUUCCUUCCUUGGGAUCCGUGCCGUAGCUAACGCAUUAAGUACCCCGCCUGGGGAGUACGGCCGCAAGGCUAAAACUCAAAGAAAUUGACGGGGGCCCGCACAAGCGGCGGAGCAUGUGGAUUAAUUCGAUGCAACGCGAAGAACCUUACCUGGGUUUGACAUGCACAGGACGCCGGCAGAGAUGUCGGUUCCCUUGUGGCCUGUGUGCAGGUGGUGCAUGGCUGUCGUCAGCUCGUGUCGUGAGAUGUUGGGUUAAGUCCCGCAACGAGCGCAACCCUUGUCUCAUGUCGCCAGCGGGUAAUGCCGGGGACUCGUGAGAGACUGCCGGGGUCAACUCGGAGGAAGGUGGGGAUGACGUCAAGUCAUCAUGCCCCUUAUGUCCAGGGCUUCACACAUGCUACAAUGGCCGGUACAAAGGGCUGCGAUGCCGCGAGGUUAAGCGAAUCCUUUUAAAGCCGGUCUCAGUUCGGAUCGGGGUCUGCAACUCGACCCCGUGAAGUCGG
rnacentral:rRNA from 1 species